GAGGUUGUGGCUCAGUGAUAGAGUGCUUGCUUAGCAUGUGUGAGGCCCUGGGUUCGAUUCUCAGCACCACA
rnacentral:tRNA from 1 species